AACAAAAACAAGAGGCAUCAUCCAAAAUUCAUAAUAAAAAAAGGAAAAACUCGAAACAUUAUGGCUUUAACUUCUUAUCUCAACUUUUCUACAUUAGCUUAGCAAAAAAAAAAAAAAAAAAAUAAAUUUAAAGACAGUAUAAAAGAAUCAUAUGUAGGUGGGUAUGCUAGCUUCGAACAGAUCUAAUGGCAUCUCUUCUCUUCCUUCGGGGCUUCUGCCGCUGAGCAAGUUAGGCUGUGCCCACAAUGGCAGCUUACUCCGUCUGUCCGUCUAUGUCCGUCCGAAUAGUGUAAGGUUAAAGGUAAGUAAAAGGGGUAUUAUAUAAAAAUAAAAGGGGUAUUUGGAAUUAGAUUUUUUUUAUCUCAUAUCUGAUUUCUUUUCUUCUUCUUUUUAGGCCUUUACCACGCCCGAAAGGACGGCCUCUUCUAGGUACUAAUUUGGAACAAGGAUCCCUAUGGAGACUUCCUACCUGCCUAGAAAGAGCUCUAUCUAUUGGGGAAGGGUAAAUACCAUGUAGUACGGUUGACGGUAUAAUCAAAGAUGAGUACCCUAGAAAAAAAAUGCCUGCCUUUUCAAAAAAAAACUAAUUUCCUUUUUUUUCUUUUAUUUUUAGGUAAUAUGUACGUCCGUCCGUCCGAAGGUUUAGUUUUAAGUAUUAUGUUAAGGGUCUUUGUAAGCCGUCACCUGGAGCACUGCGGUCUGCGAGUGCUUUUGAAGGAAGUCCCACGCUGGUGCAGAGAUGAGCCGUUGCUAUCAGAAGCUUUUGUUUUUUUUUCUCUUUUCUUUUUUUUUUGCAAUAAAGGAAUCGAAUGAUUUUGCUUUGGUCUGUUUUUUUUUUCUUUUAGAAUUCAGAUCAUUUUCUUGUUCAUCAUUUAAAAUAAAAGUGCCUUUUUCAAUGUUAGGCUUUUAGAGGUUUCAUCCCUCUUUGGAUUGUUCGGUUUUGUGUCAUCAUCCACUUGCUAUGCAGUCUUUGUAGCAAUGCAACACAACAACACCAACACUACACGACCGCGGCUGCACUUUUUUUUUAAUUCUUUUUUUUUUCUUGCUCGUUAAGCUCACUUCCAGUUGUCUUCUCGGCUCACCUCCGGCUUGCUGCACAGUCCAAAUCAAAAAGAAAGAUUUCCUUUCCUAGGACAGUGGCCUAUGUUGUCAUUUUGUUCAUCAUGGCGCUCUUCCCAGACCGAACUUCCUCUGAUGGGCCAAA